rnacentral:lncRNA from 12 species
AUGCCCCAGCAGAGGAUGCUAGCAGCUUCUGCUGAAAGAGGAGACUGUGCAGCUCUCCAGAUCUCACCUGCCCUGGGAGGUGUUGGGGGCCAGCAGUGUCCGUGGUCCCCUCAUCCAGCCAAAGAACAGAAGGACCUGGCAUGUGUGGCCAGAAAAGCACAGACUGCCUCUCGGUUCCUGUGGGUGUUAAUCAGCUCAUGUCACAGGCCACACGUCACAGGUCAGCGCUCGGAGAUUCCGUUGACUGAGUGUGCCUCCUGCAGUGAGAACUAUGGUGGGUGCAUCCUGGCUGCCCCCUUGCCACCCGCCUUCCAGCAGCUAGGGCUUCAGACAACUCUGCGCUCAGCCCAACAGAGCCUUGACCCCUGGCCGAGCAGGGCACCAGCUGCACAGACGCCAAUCCUGGCUUCGUGUCCUGCUGACUCUGCCUUGGCUUUUGAAACAGGAGCCCAUGCAGCCAUGACCUGCAUAUGA